AGUGGGAGGCCCAAUCUCAGACAAAUCGCUUCCUACUGGGCUGGUGGCGGCCUUCUCUCGGCUCUUCUUGUCACUGCACGUGGAAGUGAUUGAACGCUGGGAGUGUUGGUUGCCAAAUGACGGAUUGGUCCACAGGACCCUCUAUCAGCUGUCCAUGCUGACUAACCAUCUGGUGCAUAAGAGACUGUUAGUGGAAAACCAAAAGACAGUGAUACCAGCCAAAUACUGCCCUGGACAUUAUUCAAGGUGGCGUGACAGAAAUGGCAGCCUCACCUCACAUCUCACCAGUGCCUCGUGACGGCCAGCAGCUCCUUCCCAUCAGAACGGUUUUGCUUGUAAAACCAUGUUCUGUAUUCUGCCUAUCUAUACAAACACCAGCUUCCGUGUGUCAAUGUCAUAUUUCAUGGUCUUGUCAUGUGCGAGAAGAGGAAAAAAAAAAAAAAAAAAGUCCUCUUGCCAAGAAGAAAAGCACUGCGCUCCCGCAGGAAUGCGAUGUUGGCUCCCGCGGGUGCAGCAGAGCUUUCAGAUGUUAUGAAGGGAAGGAGAUGGAGACUAAUGCCUCUGAGGUCAAAGGAAAGCGGGUCUAUGAAGCAGAAACUGUGCACUAUUAAGGCCGAGAAAUUGCUUGGUGGUAUAUGAUGGGAGCGUAUUGUCUGGGAGCUGAUAAAUCCGACAAGUUUUAUAAAAUAGUUACAUGCCAGAUCAGCCUCUCCUCUCUGUGUACAGUAUAAUGUAAAUAGCUGACACACUCUCCAAUGUCCUUGUUGGAUUGUCUGUUUCCAGAACGCAGAUAUGUUGAAAUUUUACAUUUCUUCAUGUUGCAAACCUUAAUUUUAUCUUGUCAGAAUGCUGUACUUAAAGUCUGGUUUGUUUUAGGCACUAAAAAACACUUUGUUAUGUUAAAAAACGUCAUUUUGGGCUCAAAAUACCUGCUUUGACUGGAUAUGUCCUGACUUUCUAUUAGAUGUUUUGCAUUUUUUUGGCAUAAAAAAGGCUGGACUUUGUUUUGUAUGUUUGUUGUCUCCUUAAAAUUUGUCAGUUAGCCGGCCUUCUCGCCUGUGCUGUAAUUCCAUCAUCGUCCACUCUGCCUCCUGAUAUGAAAGACUGCCUGUUAAGAUGUGGCCGGAGGCAUUACGUUUUUGAGGCUGUCCAUCUGUCUGUCUCAUUCUAGUGAACGGGAAAUCUCUAGAACGGCCAGGAGACCCCCUUUUUUUUUGGGCAAGGUCACUGUGACCUCACAGAACACGUUUUAAGCCGUUAAUUAACUAGUCAUACAGUCAUUAUGAAAACAUUUUCAACAAAUGUCUAAUAAGAUAAAAUUAUGAAGUUUUACUUUUUACAUCCCAAAGGUCAAUUUCACUGUGCCAUCAUGAUAUUCUGCAAACAGCAUAGCUCAGCAACUCUCCUGAUGCGCUGAGGUUUUCUUUGAUUCCAUGUACAGUACAAUUGUACCGCCUGUACCUAUUAUUACAUCCCCCUCUGUUUUCUUGUCUGCUUAUUUUGUUUAAUUGUUUUUACAUUUUAAGUACUCUCUCAUUACAUGUCUGUAUUGUAUUUUUAUGUUUGCUCCCAGAGGAAGACUAGAGGCACAUUCAUGUGCUUCUGAUGGGGAUCCUUAAAUAAACCCAAAUAUAAACACUUGGGUAUUGGACAACCCUUAAGUCAUAUUAUUUAUGAAUAUACCAAAGAUUUUUACACCCAAACAAAUAGAGCAUUGACUAGUCUAUUAAUGAACUACUUUGUCUUCUAUGCUGGCAUGUCUCUGUUUAAAAAUAUGCCUUACUGUAGUAGUUUGAGCAGCGAACAGCCUCAGCUCAGCAUUUUACCGUCAGCUACUUUCUGCUCCACUUCUUCAGAUCAAUGAAAUGAUAGACCGCUGAGAGAGGACCGGGUUCCUCUGCUGUAGUAGAAUAAAUGAUUAUGUGUCCGUGUGAGUCUGUUAAUGUGCGCACGUGUGUUAGCAUUCAGCAUGAUGUGUGCAUGAUAUUAUGCCAGUGUGCGUGCCCGGGCAUAAUAUGAUCCCGACUGUGUUAUUGCAUGAUAGUGUCCCAGAGAGUGCACAAUAGUAUCUCUCUGUGUAUUAGUGUCAUUUUUUUGUGUGGUUAAUAAUUUUUCUUGGAAGAUGACUGCACACAAACAAACAUCUAGGACUGCACAACCCUCAGAUGCGAAGGAGCUCUUGUUAGUGAGUGGCUCGUAGAGGUCAGUUAGUGGAGUCACUGGAUGGAUAGUAGCUAAUAGAGAGAGCCGGAGGCAGAUGGAUAGAGGGACGUACAGGAAGAGACAGGCGGGCUAUUAGAGACAGAUAAAAGAGGAGAGAUGGAUAAAUAUAAAAUAUUAGAGAGCAAGAUGACACGCAUGGAGGAGGACAUGGAGAUAGUGAGUGUGUGGAUGUCGUGCUGUGCAGCCGGCGUGCCAAAGCCAUGUCAAGGACGUGCUCAUCCUCCCGGUCUCCCUCCCAGCAGCGGAGAUGUUCCUCGAUCCAAAGUUCAGGAGUUCAUGACCUCCAAGACUGCUGCCCUGCUCUGCCUCACCAAAGGCCCAUCCAAUACCAAAUACACACAAAUACAA